rnacentral:rRNA from 1 species
AACGAACGCUGGCGGCAGGCCUAACACAUGCAAGUCGAGCGAGGUAGCAAUACCUAGCGGCGGACGGGUGAGUAACGCGUGGGAACGUACCCCUUUCUACGGAAUAGCCUCGGGAAACUGGGAGUAAUACCGUAUAAGCCCUACGGGGGAAAGAUUUAUCGGGAAGGGAUCGGCCCGCGUUGGAUUAGGUAGUUGGUGGGGUAAUGGCCUACCAAGCCGACGAUCCAUAGCUGGUUUGAGAGGAUGAUCAGCCACACUGGGACUGAGACACGGCCCAGACUCCUACGGGAGGCAGCAGUGGGGAAUCUUAGACAAUGGGCGCAAGCCUGAUCUAGCCAUGCCGCGUGAUCGAUGAAGGCCUUAGGGUUGUAAAGAUCUUUCGUGGGGGAAGAUAAUGACUGUACCCCAAGAAGACGCACUGGCUAACUCUGUGCCAGCCGCCGCGGUAA